UACGUAGGGGGCUAGCGUUGUCCGGAAUCAUUGGGCGUAAAGCGCGUGUAGGCGGUCCGGUAAGUCCGUUGUGAAAGUCAAAGGCUCAACCUUUGAACGCCGAUGGAUACUGCCGGGCUAGAGUCCGGAAGAGGCGAGUGGAAUUCCUGGUGUAGCGGUGGAAUGCGCAGAUAUCAGGAGGAACACCAAUAGCGAAGGCAGCUCGCUGGGACGGUACUGACGCUGAGGCGCGAAAGCGUGGGGAGCGAACAGG
rnacentral:rRNA from 1 species